ACCAGAAAAUAAAAAAAAAUCAAAAAAAACACACAGAUCACGCCGCUAAAAUCAUCGCGCCACACCCCAUUUUUCGUUUGAUAGCGCCCGGAGUUUUGGUGUUCUGGGCGUUUUGCCGGCGCCAUGCAAGGGCAUACCGCCCCACUACGUAUGCUCUCAUUCUUUGAAGCAAACAGAGGAGGUUGUUCUUGAUCAGGAUGUAGAUAUUCAAGGGAAGUUAGCUGAGAAAGUUUCAUGCUAUCAAGUAGUGUUCUAUUAUUAUUUCAGCAAAGGAAUCAAUGCUCAAGUGGCUUAUGGUUUCCAUCAUUUAAGGAACGAGAAACAUUACCUUGCUCAAGAUCCCAUUUCAAACAAG